AAAAACGAUUUUUACUACCGGAACAUAUGGAUUCUUAUUGAAAAUUAUAAAAACGUCAAAAUUUUUAUUCGAGGGUGGCAUUUAAAUGCCUUUCACGGUAUAUAUAAAUAUAUUUAAUAUAUUGAUAGAUACAUUCUGGAAAAAAACUAUGUACUAUAAUAUUCCAUCAAAAGAAUUGAAGAAGAAAUGCAUCAUGCAAAUGCAAGAAUGCUUAUUUUACUUACACUGGUAAAAAAUCAUACGCAGUAGUCUUCUAUUAAGAGAAUUAAGAGAUUUAAAAUAAAGUUGUAUCCUAAUAAAAUGUAGUUGCAGUGACAAGCAAUAAUCAAGACACAAAUAUGUAAAAGGUAUUCAAUCAAUGUAAUGGAAAAGAGAGCGUAUGAUUUUUCACUACGAUAAG
rnacentral:lncRNA from 1 species